CCCUUAGAUGUUCUGGGCUGCACGCGCGCUACACUGGUGCACUCAACGAGUUUACGACCUUGCCCGAUAGGGUUGGGUAAUCUUUUUAAAAUGCAUCGUGAUGGGGAUAGAUUAUUGCAAUUAUUAAUCUUCAACGAGGAAUUCCUAGUAAGCGCGAGUCAUCAGCUCGUGCUGAUUACGUCCCUGCCCUUUGUACACACCGCCCGUCGCUCCUACCGAUUGAGUGCUCAGGUGAAUAAUUCGGACUGCAGCAAUGUUUGGAUCCCGAACGUUGCAGCGGAAAGUUUAGUGAACCUUAUCACUUAGAGGAAGGAGAAGUCGUAACA
rnacentral:rRNA from 1 species